GGGGGUGUAGCUCAGCUGGGAGAGCACCUGCUUUGCAAGCAGGGGGUCGGCGGUUCGAAUCCGCUCACCUCCA
rnacentral:tRNA from 1 species